AUGAUCAUGGAGUGCAUUAAGAGGAAGAGACAGGGUCGUGGCCGUCCUCACAAGGACUCGGGACGCUCCUCUGAUUCUCGUGAGGGCUCCCUUGAGAAGGUUCACCAGGAGAUGCUCACCUUGCUGCGCCACCUUGCGGCUUCUGCACCACCCUCAGGUUCUGCUGGUCAAACAUCUAGUCCACCGCCACACCCUUCGUCAGGUACAUCUUUGCCCUGGAUUCUUGAUUCUGGGGCCUCCUUCAACAUGACACCACACAUACAUGACCUUUGUGUGGUCAACUUUGUGCCCUCUCCACUUCCCCUUAAGAUAGAGGAUGGCACUUCUCUUCCUCUUGCAACAUGA
rnacentral:rRNA from 1 species